UAUACUUAUCUAUAACUUUAAUUCUAUGAAUGAGUAUGAUCAAUUGGUUAAAAAUAUUAAAAAUGAACGAUUAUGAUCAAUCUAUUAAAAAAAGCACUUUUAUUCAUUCAUUUUACAUUAAAAUUUAAAUUUGAGUUCAAAUCGUGAAUUAAAUUAAAUUUAAAAAAUAUAGAAAAAUGUCCAAUGUAUAUCUAUAUCUAUCCUAUAUAUAAAUUUUAUAAAAUAAAAAUAUAUAUAUAAUUAUUGUUGACAACAACUAUUUAAAUUUGAGUUAGAAUAUAUAUAACAGGUAUUUUCUAAUAGUACAUAAUAAAUAAAUUUAUUUUUAAAAAAUAUUAUAAAUUUUUGAAUAAAUAUGAUGUACAAUUUCAUAUUAAUUUAAAAUAAUUAUUAAAUAAUUAAUUGUUACGUAGAUUUGUAAGUACACUCAAUUCACUCAAUUAGUAUAUAUAUAUAUAUAUAUAGAGAGAGAGAGAGAGAGAGAGAGAGAGAGAGAGUUGAGCUAGAAUACUUGUAAAAGUAUUAUGUGAGUGGUGCUUUUGAGUUUUUAGCCAUUGGAUGGAGAGAUGUGAGGUUGAGAUGAUGGUGAUAGGUGAUGGUAGGUGGAAUAGUGUUUGAUCCAAGGGCUAUUAAAUAUCAAGGAAUAGAUCCAAUGGCUAAAAACCUAAUAGCAUCAUGGGGGUAAUACUUAUAAAAGUAUUCUAGCUCAAUUUUAUAUAUAUAUAUAUAUAUAUUUUAAAAAUUUAGAUUUAAUAUAAUAUAUUUUGAAAUAUUGAAAAAAGAAAUAAUUGUUUCGGGUUCAAAUUUUCGGAUUCGGUUUCGGGUUCGAGUUCGGGUCUCAGGUUUGGAGUCGGGUUCGGGUUCAGAUUUUUUAAAAUCCGACCCGUUGACAUCUCUAAGUGUAGUAGUACGAAAGAAUGAGAUCUUUCAUAUCAUGCAUGAUCACAUAGAU
rnacentral:lncRNA from 1 species